UGUGCGAGUGUGUGUGUGUGUGUGUGUGCGAGUGUGUGUGUGUGUGUGUGUGUGUGUGCGUGUGUUCGUGUUUUCACUUUAGCGAGCUCUGUCUUCUCUUUUCCCUCUGUAGCACUCAGAUGAAAACACGCGAUCAGAAUGCUGUUGUAACGCUACAGCAGGUCUUUCCUUCACAUAAACUGAUCUCAAUGGACUGGAAAGACAGUGAAGGUGUUUAUUCCUCAAGGAGGAGCUGAGGAGUUUGUCUGAAGAGCUGGCUCAGUGUCAGAAAGUGACGGCACAGGAGAAGGAGAUAAACAGCCGGGUUCAGCGGUUGCGUGGCAGUGCGGUCUAAUGAAGAAAGAACUGGCAGCUCUGCAGCACACACUGGGGAAUAAGAGUCGACAACUUAAGGUUUGGACAGAUUUCCACUGGCACCACUUGUAAAGCUCUGCCUCUGUGCCUGUGACACCGGGAAGAGAGGGAGGGGAAAAACUGAGAAGCCCCUGGAGGCAAUCGCCUACGGCCUCAAAAUCCCGGGUUGGGGCGCCAGCGACAGCGGAGCUCGGACAAGCAGCAG
rnacentral:lncRNA from 1 species